GAUUCCUCCACCCAGAAGCCCUUAAAAUGCAGCUUUGUUUUAAGCCUUCUUGAAGAUUUGGGCUAGAUCUAGAAAAGAACCUCACCACGGAGGAUGUGCAAAGUACAACACGUGACCCCGGAGACGGAAGCUCUUCUCUACCUCCGUAAAGAUGAUCUCUGAUGAACAGACAUGAUCAUGCCUGGAGAACAGGGAUGGACAGUCCCGCUUCUGAAAGACCCUGUCUGGCUGAUGAUUCAUGGUGCGCCGGGCAGACCCCAGGCCAAGAGACCCCACCCACAGUACCUGAGUGCUCAGCUGGGAACCAGACCAGACCUCAAAACAGGUUCCCAAGGUUACCACCCAACCCUGCCAACUUUCGCACCCCGCAAGGAGCAAGACCCCGCCCGCUCACCACCUGCCUGUGCAGCCAACGGGCCUCGCUGAGCUGCCCUGGGCCGCUCCCUCCAUUCACACAGUUGGCCCUCCCUCUCCCUGCCUCCCUUCGCCUACCCCACGAACUACUUCAUCCCUCUGGGCCGGCACUGUAGAAGCCCCAUUGUUCACAUCGACCUCCCAAUUAUCUCCUCUUUCCCUCUCCCUCUGCUCCUGCCCAGACCAGCCCCCCAGCAUUGACCUGGAUGCCUGCCACAGCCUCCUCCCUGGUCUCCGGCCUCCCACCUCUGCUCCUCGGUCUCCUCUACCCAGCCAGUAACUGCAGAGAGCACUAAAGCACAGUCCUGGCAUCUCACCCCCUUAACCCUGGCCACGGCUUCCCAGUGCCUCCAAGAUAAAGCACCAACACCUGAGGACAGCAGCUUGUUUUGAGAGUCCCCUCCAUUGAAACACGCACAUCUAAUUUGUCCUUCAGUUCGCUGGACUCCACGCUGAACGUGCCAUGCUCCAUUGCCCCGAGGAGCACAUAUGGGUCAAGAUGUUACGGGCUCAACCAGCGUGGUGGCUCACACCUGGAAUCCCAGCACUUUGGGAGGCUGAGGCAGGUGGAUCACCUGAGGUCAGGAGUUCAAGACCAGCGUGGCCAACAUGGUGAAACCCUGUCUCUACAAAAAAUACAAAAAUUAGCCGGGCAAUAAUAAUAAUAAUAAUAAUAAUGAAGUGAUGGGCUCUAAUCCAGACCCUCCUCGGGUUUUCAGUCCUAAACUCUUUGGCUACUCCUUACAGGAAGUUGUCCAGUUACACAUCUCUGAUCCUUCCCCAGGAUCAAAACCCAGGAAGGAGGCCUUGAAGCCAGACAGAACCAUGUUCAAAUUCCCACUCUACUACUUGGCAGUGUGUGGCCUUGGGCAAGUUACUUGGCUCUGAGCCUCCUAAGCAGGGGUAACCCCUUUGAGAGGUUGUAGGAUUCAAUGGGAGACCAUGGAUUAGCGCCAAGAAAUAGCAGGUGCUCCAUAAAUAUCCGUGCCUUUCUGGGGAUACAGCCAAGUGGAAACUCAGCCAUGGACGAUACCUGGGCUCCUGGGAGCCAACAUCACUUUAUUUCCCACAUUCUGCUAACAAAAUCCAAUUCGUUAUAAUCAGGGGUCAUCUGUUUUGCUUUCCUUUGCCAAUAAAAAAUUGACUUGGCAUGAAGUCUUCAGUAGUUACUUCAGCUAACAUUUGUUGAACACCGUCCAGGAGCCAGGCACCCUGCUGCUCAGAGGCUGGCCCUGGCCCUCUGGGAGUUCAGAGUCUCACUGCAGAAUGGCACCUGCAGGCAAAGAACUCUAAAACAAGGCAGGGUAGUGAGAGAUGUGAGCCAUACGUUCAAAAUGCUGGGACUUCAGAGACAGCAGAGGCCACCUGGGUGUGGCAUGGGCUUGGCAUGCAGUCCUCUGGGGCUACUGCGGAAGGGGUGUCACCAGGACCAGCUACAGAACUUAUGGGGCCCCUUUUUCAAAAAGUUAUUAAGAAUCUUGGUAAUAGGCCAGGCGCGGCGGCUCACGCCUGUAAUCCCAGCACUUUGGGAGGCCGAGGCCGGCUGAUCACCUGAGGUCACGAGUUCGAGACCAGCCUGACCAACAUGGAGAAACCCCGUCUCUACUAAAAAUACAAAAUUAGCUGGGCGUGGUGGUGCAUGCCUGUAAUCCCAGCUACUUGGGAGGCUGAGGCAGGAGAAUCGCUUGAACCCGGGAGGCGCAGGUUGCCAUGAGCCGAGAUUGCGCCACUGCACUCCAGCCUGGGCAACGAGAGCGAAACUCCUUAUCAAAAAAAUAAUAAUAAUAAUAAUUUCAGUGAUAGUAGGGCAUUAAGCCAAAUGUAGGGCCCUCUGAGCAUGGCGCCCUGUACCACCACACAGGCCACUGACCCAUGCAGCUGGCCCUGGGUGCCGCUAUUCCAUGACCCCAGGAGGUCAGGUGCUGUCCCUCUGGGAGAGGCAGGCUCAGGGCAGACCCUGUGGGAGUUGGGCCCUCAGGCCUCAUCCAAGCUGCUGACCAUGCGUCACGGCUCCCUAUUUCUGUGUGAGGAGAAUUGUUCCUGUCUGGUGACUGUCAUCAGGAGGGUGACUGUGGAUUUCCACAAGCCAGGAUGGACGGCAACUUCCCCAGCAUGAGAAAGAGCCACCCAGGAUUGGCUUGGGGCUGUUGACAGUGGCCUGUCCCUCGCUAUGUCAUCUGCCUCACCACAAACCACCAGCAGAAGGUUCAGAGGCCAGGGAAAGAGAGGGGAGCCACUGGGCCAGGCCUGAUGGUGCACACCUGUCAUCCCAGCACUUUAGGAGGCUGAGGCAGGAGGACGGCUUGGACCCAGGAGUUGGAGACUAGCCUGGGCAAUGCAAUGAGAACCUGUCUCUCCAAAAAAAAAAAAAAAAAAAAUUAAAAACUUAGCCAGACAUAGUGGUGCAUGCCUGGAGUCCCAGUUACUCCGAAGGCUGAAGUGGGAGGAUCGUUUGGGCCUGAGAGUUUGAGGCUGCAGUGAGCUCUGAUCACACCACCGCACUCCAGCCUGGGCAACAGAGCAAGACCCUGUCGCAAAAUAAAUAAAUAAUUUUUUUUUUUUUUGAGACAGGGUCUCACGCUGUCACCAAGGCUGGAGUGCGGUGGCGCGAUCUCGGCUCACUCCAACCUCUCCCUCCUGGGUUCAAGCGAUUCUCCUGCCUCAGCCUCCUGAGUAGCUGGGAUUACAGGCGCCCGCCACCACACUCGCUCAUUUUUUUGUAUUUUUAGUAGAGAUGGGGUUUUGCCUUGUUGGUCAGGCUAAUCUCAAACUCCUGACCUCAAAUGAUCCACCCGCCUCGGCCUCCCAAAGUGCUGGGAUUAAAGGUGUGAGCCACCACUCCUGGCCAUAAAAAUUUUUAAAUGACAUUUUUUGGCUACUGUUAAAACAACAACAAAAACAGGAACUAAGAAGUAUCGGGGAGGAUGCGGAGAAACUGCGCCCGGUGCAUCGCUGGUGCAGAAUCAAAUGGCGCAGCCGCUGUGGAAACCAGUGUGGUGGGAGGCUCCUCAAAACAUUAAACAGACAAUUACCAAACAAUCUCGCAAUCCCGCUUCCGGGUAUAUGCCCCAAACAACUGAAAGCAGAGUCUCAGAGCAGUAUUUGCACGCCCACACUCACACAGCAUUACCACAAGAGCAAAAAGAUGGAAGCAACUCAAGCUUCACGGACGGACAAACGGAUGAACCAAAUGGGUUAUAUGCACAAAAUGGAAUAUUAUGCAGCCUUAAAAAGGAAGGAUAUUCUGACACAUGCUGCAACGUGGAUAAGCCUUGAGAACAUUAUGCUAAGCGAAAUAAGCCAGCUACAAAAAAGACAAAUAUUGUAUGAUUCCACUUAUACGAGUAAUCAAAUUCCCACAAACAGAAAGAAAAAAGUGGUUGUCAGGGCUGGGAGGAGAGGGAAACAAGGAGUUAUUGUUCAAUGGGUGUAACAUGGCAGUUUUUUUGUUUUUGGGGGGUGGUUUUGAGACAGAGCCUCCCUCUGUCACCCAGGCCGGAGAGCAGUGGUGCGAUCUCAGCUCGCUGAAACCUCUGCCUCACAGGUUGGAGCGGUUCUCCUGCCUCAGCCUCCCGAGUAGCUGGAAUUACAGGCACGCACCACCACGCCUGGCUAAUUUUUGUAUUUUUACUAGAGAUGGGGGAGUUCCACCAUGUUGGCCAGGCUGGUCUCGAACUCCCAACCUCAGGUGAUCCGCCCGCCUCAGCCUCACAAAGUGCUGGGAUUACAGGCGUGAGCCACCGCACCUGGCCCACAUUGCAGUUUUGCAAGAGCGAGACUUCUGGAGAUGGAUGGGGUGAUGGUUACACAACAAUGUGAAUGAGCUUAAUGCUACUGAUCUGUACACUUAGAAAUGACUAAGAUAGUACAUUUUAUGUUAUGUGUAUUUUACCGCAGUUAAAAAUGUUGUAAGUUUAAUGACUUUUGUUUUCUGUAUAUAAAAAAAUAUUUAUUAAAAAUCGUGAGCCCAGGCACAGUGACUCAUGCCUGUAAACUCAGCACUUUAGGAGGCCAAGGGGGGAGGAUCACCUGAGGCCAGGAGUUUGAGACCAGCCUAGGCAACAUAGCAAGACCCUGCCUCUACAAAAAAUAAAACAUAAAAAUUAGCUGGGCAUGGUAGUGCACGCCUGUAGUCCCAGCUACUAGGGAAGCUGAAGUGGAAGGACCGCCUGAGCCCAGGAGGUCAAGGACGCAGUGAGCUGUAAUUGCACCACUGCACUCCAGCCUGGGAAAAUAAAUAAAUAUAAAUAAAUGGCCCAGGCGCAGUAGCUAAUGCCUGUAAUCCCAACACUGGGAGGCCAAGGCAGGCAGAUUCCUUGAGGCCAGGAGUUCGAGACCAGCCUGGCCAACAUGGUAAAACCCUGUCUCUACUAAAAAUACAAAAAUUAGACAAGCAUGGUGGCACAUGCCUGUAAUCCCAGCUACUCAGGAGGAUGAGGCACGAGAAUUGCGUGAGCCGGGGAGGCAGAGGUUGCAGUGAGCUGAGAUCCUGCCACUGCACUCCAGCCUGGGCAACAGUGGGAACCUGUCUCAAAAAAAAAAAAAAUAAAUAUAAUAAUUAAUAAAUAAAAAUCUUGAAUGUAUAGGAAAACCGAAAGAGGGCUGGGUGUGAUGGCUCACACCUGUAAUCCCAGCACUUUGGGAGGCUGAGGCGGGCGGAUCACCUGAGGUCGGGAGUUCGAGACCAGCCUGAUUGACAUGAGAAACCCUGUCUCUACUAAAAAUACAAAAUUAGCCAGCUGUAAUCCCAGCUACUCGGGAGGCUGAGGCAGGAGAAUCGCUUGAACUUGGGAGGUGGAGGUUGCGGUGAGCUGAGAUCGCGCCACUGCACUCCAGCCUGGGCAAGAAGAGCGAAACUCCAUCUCAAAAGAAAAGAAAAGAAAAGAAAAAUCCAAAGAGGCAAAGAUGUAAUAUCUCUCUUAUAUUAUACAUAAAUACUCAUAAAGAAAUAAAAGUACCUGUAACUCUACUACCCAGAGACAACUGCUGCUAAAGACAUGAUCUACUUCCUCCUGUAUUUGGAACACACACAGGUGUGUACCUCUCUCCAGCCAUCUAUAAUUCAGAUCAGUUCAACAGCUAUAGUUAUGUAUACUCUAUUUCCUCCUGUAUUUGGAACACACACAGGUGUGUACCUCUCUCCAGCCAUCUAUAAUUUAGAUCAGUUCAACAGCUAUAGUUAUGUAUACUCUAUUUCCUCCUGUAUUUGGAACACACACAGGUGUGUACCUAUCUCCAGCCAUCUAUAAUUCAGAUCAGUUCAAUAGCUAUAGUUAUGUAUACUCUAUUUCCUCCUGUAUUUGGAACACACACAGGUGUGUACCUAUCUCCAGCCAUCUAUAAUUCAGAUCAGUUCAAUAACUACAGUUAUGUACACUACUUUCUCACUUCAUGUAUUAUAAGUAUUUCUAAAAUCUCCUGUAAUAUGAUUUUUAGUGGCUUCCUGGUAUUUGAUCAUAUGGACAUAAUGUUCAACUAAUCUUCUAUUUCUGAACAUUUAGGUCGUUUAAAGUUUUUCCGUGUUUUAAACAAUACUGUGAUGUACAUCCUUAUGUAUAUACUGUUAUCCAUAUUUCUCGAACUCCUGACCUCAGGUGAUUCGCCCGCCUUGGCCUCCAAAAGCGCUGGGGUUACAGGUGUGAGCCACCACACCCCGCCCUGUUAUCCAUAUUUCUGAUCAUUUCCUUAGGGUGAUUUCCCACAAGACAUUUCACCGAGUCAAAGACUGAGUGUCUUGAGGCCAGGGGCACGUACGGAUCGGGCCCUCCUGAUGACAGGGCCGCGUCUGGCCCAGUGCUCUGUGCUCUGUGCUCUGUCCCCUCCAGGCUUCUAAGGCCCCAGACUUUCUCUCCUUUGACUUUGGCUAGAUUCGACUCCCGUAAGUGCUGGCGAACGAAAAGUUCUGGAAUGUAAGCAAAAUGGGGCCCCCGUGUCCAUAUGGGCUAACUCUGUAGGCUCAAAUGAAAUCUUUUUUUUUUUUUUUUUUUUGAGACAGAGUUUCGCCCUUGUCACUCAGGAUGGAGUACAAUGGCGUGAUCUCGGCUCACUGCAACCUCCACCUCCUGUGUUCAAGCAAUUCUCCUGCCUCAGCCUCCCAAGUAACUGGGAUUACAGGCAUGCACCACCACAUCCAGCUAAUUUUUGUAUUUUUAGUAGCGAUGGGGUUUCACCAUGUUGGCC
rnacentral:lncRNA from 1 species